AUAUAAUUCGCUAAGAAAUGCCGAUGUAGUUUGAAAAACAUUCCAUUGUAAGCCCAAAGGUUUAGUUUCAGAAACAACUAGUGACUUUCCCAUAUCAAAGUAUGGCAUGCAGCAUUAUCUGAAACUACAUAUCAACCCAAAUGAGCCAAUAAUUAAUUAAUUCGAAUUUAUUCUUAAGGCUGGUUAGGGUUUAGCUAAAUUCUCAUAACGGGUAGCGGGUACGGGUAGUUGUGCUACGGGUAGCGGGUCGGGUAACGGGCAGCAUUUUCGCUACCCGCGGCAACCCUAAUACAUAAGAGUUCCCUGUAAAGGGAGAUACGUACAUACACACAUGCAAAAUGUUUUAUUUAUGUAGUUGGUAAAUGAAGAUCCCAAACUGUCUCAGCUAUUGUUUACUCGAAUUUCUUACACAACACGCUUAAAAAUAACACCAAUUAAAGAUGAAAUACUCACAAUGUGUAAAUAUGAACAUAUGAAUGUAUUUUAAGCAAUGUUUGGGAGUGAAAAAAACUUAGGGUCAGGCAGGAAACCACUGCGUAUCUUACUGUUCUUCCGCAGAUAAUUUUCUUGCACAGAAAGAAUACUUAUGUCCUGGAAACCAAGUACAUACUAAAUAGUAGAUAUGUAUAUACAGGGAAAUUAUUUGUGCAUGUCUGUCACAUCAUUUGUAUAUUUUGACGCUCUAGAAACUGACAUCCUCCUUACUUUGUUAACAAAGGAAUGAGUUGUGCUAUCUGCUAAAAAUACAUGAUCUACAUAUGUAUGUAUAACUCUCUUUCUCAAUGCAACCGUUCACUAUGCCAGAAUUUUUUCCAAGUCAUUUUCUCUGAUUGACAAGACUGGAAAGAAGGAAGAUUUCGCUGUUGAGUGUUGAACAAGAUAGUCCAUUGGGUUUUGCAACCGAUAUCAUUUUUUCUUUGAUCAAAAAGAGGGCCUCGAUCGACCAGCAUGACGUGCUUGUCAAACGUUACGUCGUGUAUGCCAUGUGUUGCAAGUGGAUGUUAUUGGGGGCAGCCAGUUUCUGGGUCAACUCUUUGUGUCCCUACGAAGGUGUCUUUGGUUGGGCAGUUGUGGCGGACGAUUGUGCCGCCUCUUGCGGAGGACGCGUGCCCCUCUAUUCCAACAACAACAACUAUUCGUCCAGAAACGGAAAGUAGCCCGGUUUGCUGGAUAUUUCUCGAUUAACGGAGAGGUAUGGAUUUUAAGGUCUCCAUAAGGAAGCAUGACGUACAUUUUUUAAGGGGGAAUAUGAGACGAGGCGGGAACGCGUCAUACCAUAGAGGCUUAAGCUAGCAAAAUUUGACAAUUUUGAGAAUAUUUGAGAGAAAAGUGCCGUUCAUAAAUUUGUGAUGCGAAAUGGGGAGGGGAGGGUCUAAGGCUCGAAGGAUAUCAUGUCUAUGUGACAUAUAGGGUCCAGAAAAUUUUCGCGUUACUUAAUUUAUUCUCGGCCCCUGAACCAAAAAUUCAUAUAUAUUAAUGUGAAAUUCGACGUGGUGGCUCAAAGUCAAUGUAUACAUUGGAAAUUUCAGGUAUGGCAAUCGCUCUUUUUGCCAUACUUCUCGCGGUGGGGUGCCUCGUCGCGCGUUUUUGCGUGUUUAGGGUUGACCAGAUUGGUGAGCUGUUUUUUUAUCAAAAAGUGUUUCUGAUUUCUGACGGGGCGUUUUAAUAAACAAAGUUGUAAGUGCAAGAAUUCUGAAUUUAAUCUUUUACAGGUAAUACUGCUGGUAAUGCUAACCGCAUAUUAAAGGAGAAUUAUAUAAUUUUUUCAGUUCAACUUCAGGUUCUUAAGGAGGGUGGGGGAGGAAAAGAAUGUAGAGAAAAAAGGGUGAAAGUUGUUGGAAGGGAAGAAGAGGGAGAGCCCGAAGGUAGAGGAGAUUGCGAAGUUAACUAUGAGGAUGAUUAAGGAGGGGACUAAAGUGGGGGGAGGAGAUUAGCUACUCAUUUUAAGAUUAACAUGAAUGAGUAGGAUAUUGAAACGGUGUAAUCUCAUCCAAGAUUGAUCAAAUUCGUCCCGUUAUCCAUUUACUUGUUACAUAAGUUUAUGUUUAAUACAAAAUGUAAUUAUGCUAAUUUCAACUAUUUAACAACUCCAUUAGGUUACCAUUGAUGAUUACAAUCAUCUUAAAUUUUAACAAAUCGAUUUAUUUCGCAAAGGAUUACGACACUAAAUAAAUUAUACAGUUAUCAGGAAUAUUAAAACACUUCAGAACGA